AACGUACCUUACGCUCACUGGUAUUCCGGUGAGCAUGCUUGUUUGAGGGUCUGAAGAGGAGCGGAUUUUUGAGUGGCACGAUUGUGGCACUCGAGAGUUGAGCACGACCAGAUUUGUGGCGGGCUUGAAAUAUUUUUACACAGUCACGGCUUUUGAAGCACGGAAAUUGUUCAGGUUUGAAAUCUUGUUCUCCUUCCAAGUUUCAAGAGCCCAAGCUGUCUUAAAUCGCAGGAAAUUUCUGAAAUAGACCUCAAAUCAAGUAGGACUACGCGCUGAACUUAA
rnacentral:misc_RNA from 1 species